UACGAAGGGAGCUAGCGUUGUUCGGAAUUACUGGGCGUAAAGGGCGCGUAGGCGGUUUAGUAAGUCAGAUGUGAAAGCCCCGGGCUUAACCUGGGAACAGCAUUUGAUACUGCUAGACUUGAGAUCGAAAGAGGAGAGUGGAAUUGCGAGUGUAGAGGUGAAAUUCGUAGAUAUUCGCAGGAACACCAGUGGCGAAGGCGACUCUCUGGUUCGAUACUGACGCUAAGGCGCCAAAGCGUGGGUAGCAAACAGG
rnacentral:rRNA from 1 species